GCUCCGCCCCGCCCCGUCUCCCGGCACCGCGGCCGCUGGCGGCGGCUCUGCCGCGGGGGGUCCCCGCGCCCGCCCGGCCCGGGCACCGUGCCGCUUUGCGGGGCUGGGGGCUGCUCGGGGGGCCUCUCCGCGUCCCGCCGGCCCCACCCGCACCACCGCGGACGCGGUCCCGUUACGCGGGCGUCGGUGGGGGCGAGCGCUGCGCGGGGGCGCCUCUGGGUCGGGCCCCGGGGCCGGAGCUGCGGGCGCCGAGCGGGACGGGCCCCGCGGAUACGGCCGCUGGCUGCGGUGCCCCCGUGCCCCUUGGGCUGACGCGCUCCCGGUAGCGGUUCCCCGGUGGAGGUUCGGGGCUGGGGCCGGGAAGGAGCGAUUGGGCUUCUGUUGUGGCGCCCUUUCUCUGCGUGGCCGAGCGCAGCGCCGGAGCAGCCAACUGGCGUUACCCCGCCGCGGGUACUGCGAAAAGCGGAGCUCUGUCCGCGCUCCAGCGGCGUGACCGCGAGUCCCCAUCGCAGGGAUUCCUUACAGGCGAGACCCGUUCCUAACACCUGUUUGGGGUGGGCUACGGGGAAGUUUUUUUUCUUCUUUUUCGGUUGCCUUCGAGGAUGGAGAUGGAGGCGCGCAGGAGAGCCCCGCGCAGCGGAGGGCUGGGGAGGGCGGGCCGCGGGCACUGCCUGUCCUCUGGCGGCGCGGCCCCGCGGGACGGGCACGGCUCCGGGCACACGGGCGGCCGGCUGCCGUCCGCUGGCGGACGGCGUCAGGGCGGCGGAUGGGACGCGCACGGCUUGGUGGAACACCCCGCAGGUGCUUUUUGUUCAAGGUGACUCUACAGGGCAGCUUUGUGAUCAGAUGGAACAACGUUGUCAUUCAGGAUUUAUGCAAACACUUGUCUAUUUAAUUACAUCUAAUUUAAGGACGUGCAUCAAGCAUUCUGCUUUGAUCCGUGGCUUUCAAAACAUUCAGCAAAUGCCACAGGAAAGCCAAUGA
rnacentral:lncRNA from 1 species